CCAUGCUUCCUUACAUUCAAUA
rnacentral:miRNA from 1 species